UAUUAUCCAUAUGAUGUUAAA
ensembl:piRNA 21ur-1176 ncRNA